UGCCGCGUGCAGGAAGACUGCCUUAUGGGUUGUAAACUGCUUUUAUACAGGAAGAAACAUCCCGACGUGUCGGGACUUGACGGUACUGUAAGAAUAAGGAUCGGCUAACUCCGUGCCAGCAGCCGCGGUAAUACGGAGGAUCCAAGCGUUAUCCGGAAUCAUUGGGUUUAAAGGGUCCGUAGGCGGGCUUGUAAGUCAGUGGUGAAAGUCUGUGGCUCAACCAUAGAAUUGCCAUUGAUACUGCUAGUCUUGAAUUAUUAUGAAGUGGUUAGAAUAUGUAGUGUAGCGGUGAAAUGCUUAGAUAUUACAUGGAAUACCAAUUGCGAAGGCAGAUCACUAAUAAUAUAUUGACGCUGAGGGACGAAAGCGUGGGUAGCGAACAGGAUUAGAUACCCUGGUAGUCCACGCCGUAAACGAUGGAUACUAGCUGUUGGGCUUCGGCUCAGUGGCUAAGCGAAAGUGAUAAGUAUCCCACCUGGGGAGUACGUUCGCAAGAAUGAAACUCAAAGGAAUUGACGGGGGCCCGCACAAGCGGUGGAGCAUGUGGUUUAAUUCGAUGAUACGCGAGGAACCUUACCAGGGCUUAAAUGUAGUUUGACCGAUUUGGA
rnacentral:rRNA from 1 species